GACGAACGCUGGCGGCGUGCUUAACACAUGCAAGUCGAACGGUGAAGGGGUCUGCUUUUGUGGGCCCUGGAUGAGUGGCGAACGGGUGAGUAACACGUGAGUAACCUGCCCCCUUCUUCUGGAUAACCGCAUGAAAGUGUGGCUAAUACGGGAUAUUCUGGGUCUGUCGCAUGAUGGGUCUGGGAAAGAUUGCGCCUUUGGGUGUUUUUGGUGGGGGAUGGGCUCGCGGCCUAUCAGCUUGUUGGUGGGGUGAUGGCCUACCAAGGCGGUGACGGGUAGCCGGCCUGAGAGGGUGGACGGUCACACUGGGACUGGGACACGGCCCAGACUCCUACGGGAGGCAGCAGUGGGGAAUAUUGCACAAUGGGCGCAAGCCUGAUGCAGCGACGCCGCGUGAGGGAUGGAGGCCUUCGGGUUGUAAACCUCUUUCGCCAGUGAAGCAGGCCUGCUCCUUGUGGGUGGGUUGACGGUAGCUGGAUAAGAAGCGCCGGCUAACUACGUG
rnacentral:rRNA from 1 species